rnacentral:rRNA from 1 species
AAUAUUGGACAAUGGGGGGAACCCUGAUCCAGCCAUCCCGCGUGUGUGAAGAAGGNUUNNGGAUUNUNAAGCACUUUAAGUUGNNNNNAAGGGCAGUAAGUGAAUACCUUGCUGUUUUGACGUUACGGACAGAAUAAGCACCGGCUACCUUCGUGCCAGCAGCCGCGGUAAUAAGACGGGUGCAAGCGUUAAUCGGAAUUAAUGGGCGUAAAGCGCGCAUAGGUGGUUCGUUAAGUUGGAAGUGAAAGCCCCGGGCUUAACCUGGGAAUUGCUUUCAAAACUGACGAGCUAGAGUACGGUAGAGGGUAGUGGAAUUUCCUGUGUAGCGGUGAAAUGCGUAGAUAUAGGAAGGAACACCAGUGGCGAAGGCGACCACCUGGGCUAAUACUGACACUGAGGUGCGAAAGCGUGGGGAGCAAACAGG